GAUGAACGCUGGCGGCGUGCCUAAUACAUGCAAGUCGAGCGAACGGACGAGAAGCUUGCUUCUCUGAUGUUAGCGGCGGACGGGUGAGUAACACGUGGAUAACCUACCUAUAAGACUGGGAUAACUUCGGGAAACCGUAGCUAAUACCGGAUAAUAUUUUGAACCGCAUGGUUCAAAAGUGAAAGACGGUCUUGCUGUCACUUAUAGGUGGAUCCGCGCUGCAUUAGCUAGUUGGUAAGGUAACGGCUUACCAAGGCAACGAUGCAUAGCCGACCUGAGAGGGUGAUCGGCCACACUGGAACUGAGACACGGUCCAGACUCCUACGGGAGGCAGCAGUAGGGAAUCUUCCGCAAUGGGCGAAAGCCUGACGGAGCAACGCCGCGUGAGUGAUGAAGGUCUUCGGAUCGUAAAACUCUGUUAUUAGGGAAGAACAUAUGUGUAAGUAACUGUGCACAUCUUGACGGUACCUAAUCAGAAAGCCACGGCUAACUACGUG
rnacentral:rRNA from 1 species